UGAUAAUAUCAUGCUGAAAAACCGGUUCCCGUAGGAGCACCGAAGUUAAGCAAUGUCGAGUCUGGUUAGUAACUAGUUGGGUGACCGCUUGGGAAUACCAUGUGUU